rnacentral:misc_RNA from 1 species
GAUGAAGAACGUAGCGAAAUGCGAUAAUUAAUGUGAAUUGCAGAAUUUAGUGAAUCAUCGAAUCUUUGAACGCACAUUGCGCCCCUUGGUAUUCCGAGGGGCAUGCCUGUUCGAGCGUCAUUUUGACCACUCCCGCUUGCGGGGUCUUGGGCCUUCGCCUCUGGGCGGGCCUUAAAAUCAGUGGCGGUGCCGUCCGGCUCUAAGCGUAGUAAAUCUCCUCGCUAUAGGGUUCCGGAGGGAUGCUGGCCAACAACCCCCAACUUUUAAGGUUGACCUCGGAUCAGGUAGGGAUACCCGCUGAACUUAAGCAUAUCAAUAAGCGGAGGA